rnacentral:rRNA from 1 species
GUCGAACGGUAACAGGAAGCAGCUUGCUGCUUCGCUGACGAGUGGCGGACGGGUGAGUAAUGUCUGGGAAACUGCCUGAUGGAGGGGGAUAACUACUGGAAACGGUAGCUAAUACCGCAUAACGUCGCAAGACCAAAGAGGGGGACCUUCGGGCCUCUUGCCAUCGGAUGUGCCCAGAUGGGAUUAGCUAGUAGGUGGGGUAACGGCUCACCUAGGCGACGAUCCCUAGCUGGUCUGAGAGGAUGACCAGCCACACUGGAACUGAGACACGGUCCAGACUCCUACGGGAGGCAGCAGAGGGGAAUAUUGCACAAUGGGCGCAAGCCUGAUGCAGCCAUGCCGCGUGUAUGAAGAAGGCCUUCGGGUUGUAAAGUACUUUCAGCGGGGAGGAAGGCGAUAAGGUUAAUAACCUUGUCGAUUGACGUUACCCGCAGAAGAAGCACCGGCUAACUCCGUGCCAGCAGCCGCGGUAAUACGGAGGGUGCAAGCGUUAAUCGGAAUUACUGGGCGUAAAGCGCACGCAGGCGGUCUGUCAAGUCGGAUGUGAAAUCCCCGGGCUCAACCUGGGAACUGCAUUCGAAACUGGCAGGCUAGAGUCUUGUAGAGGGGGGUAGAAUUCCAGGUGUAGCGGUGAAAUGCGUAGAGAUCUGGAGGAAUACCGGUGGCGAA